GUGCUGCAGGAAGUGGCUCUGUGGGCAGCAGGAUUCGCUUCUCUCACUCAGACCCCGCCACGAAGACGGGUCCCUGGCAGAGGAGCGGUGUUUCUGGCAAAACGGAGGACAAGCAGCACUGAAACACGCUAAGGAUCCUGAUCAGCCAAAGUGUCUCACACCUCUGCAGGGAAGAAAUCUUUCUGGAGGCUCAGUAAUUUUUUGGUGCAAGGGCUGACCAAGCUGUGGAGUUUCUCUCCUGCGUCAGCAUCCCUGUGGAAAAAUCCAGCGUUGGGGAAGUGAAGAUGGGAGUUUGCACUUGCAACCAUCCGACUCCUUGUCUUUAUGGCUGGACACUACUACCUGAUGAGAACCGGACAUUUAGGAGGGAGAAAUGUAACUUUCCUGUCAAGUUUUGCUCCUUCAGAAAGGAUCCUGCUUUUUUAGUCAAUUAAGUCAGUGAAACAAGUUGUUCCAUGGGACUAAUGAAACUGGAUUUUCACAAAUCUAUACUCCAUCCUCUUUCCUCUCACUCACCCUACACCAAUAACCUCAUUUCCCCUGUGACUUUUCCGUUCCUCCGACACUGUAAUUUCCCCAGUAAAUCCCCUCAAUAACCAUGAAGGUCUAGCAGCCACCUGUCACAUCUCCCAGCCACGGGAUGAGGAAGAGGGUGCACAUAAUACCUGAGCUCACCGUGCCACCCUUCCUCUAACACCUGUGCUGAUUUCCUCCGUACAUCUGCCAAUUUUUAUAAAAUAUGUGGGAAUGCCGUAUAUCUGUUAUGAUUCAUUUUCCAUCUCUGGCCUUGUUUUCCCAUUUGUGUCUCCUACUAAUGCUAAACAAGAUACAGAUGGAUACAGCUUCAUUUUCCAUCUUGUUUUCCCAUUCCUAUGUCCUACUAAUGCUAAACAUGACUUGAUACUGAUGGAUAUGGCACCAAAAUCGACAUUGGUAGUAAAAAUUGACAUUGGUAGUAGGGUGAUGGUUGGACCUAAUGAUCUUGAA